GAUGAACGCUAGCUACAGGCUUAACACAUGCAAGUCGAGGGGCAGCAUGGUCUUAGCUUGCUAAGGCCGAUGGCGACCGGCGCACGGGUGAGUAACACGUAUCCAACCUGCCGUCUACUCUUGGACAGCCUUCUGAAAGGAAGAUUAAUACAAGAUGGCAUCAUGAGUCCACAUGUUCACAUGAUUAAAGGUAUUCCGGUAGACGAUGGGGAUGCGUUCCAUUAGAUAGUAGGCGGGGUAACGGCCCACCUAGUCUUCGAUGGAUAGGGGUUCUGAGAGGAAGGUCCCCCACAUUGGAACUGAGACACGGUCCAAACUCCUACGGGAGGCAGCAGUGAGGAAUAUUGGUCAAUGGGCGAGAGCCUGAACCAGCCAAGUAGCGUGAAGGAUGACUGCCCUAUGGGUUGUAAACUUCUUUUAUAAAGGAAUAAAGUCGGGUAUGCAUACCCGUUUGCAUGUACUUUAUGAAUAAGGAUCGGCUAACUCCGUGCCAGCAGCCGCGGUAAUACGGAGGAUCCGAGCGUUAUCCGGAUUUACUGGGUCUAAAGGGAGCGUAGAUGGAUGUUUAAGUCAGUUGUGAAAGUUUGCGGCUCAACCGUAAAAUUGCAGUUGAUACUGGAUAUCUUGAGUGCAGUUGAGGCAGGCGGAAUUCGUGGUGUAGCGGUGAAAUGCUUAGAUAUCACGAAGAACUCCGAUUGCGAAGGCAGCCUGCUAAGCUGCAACUGACAUUGAGGCUCGAAAGUGUGGGUAUCAAACAGGAUUAGAUACCCUGGUAGUCCACACGGUAAACGAUGAAUACUCGCUGUUUGCGAUAUACAGCAAGCGGCCAAGCGAAAGCGUUAAGUAUUCCACCUGGGGAGUACGCCGGCAACGGUGAAACUCAAAGGAAUUGACGGGGGCCCGCACAAGCGGAGGAACAUGUGGUUUAAUUCGAUGAUACGCGAGGAACCUUACCCGGGCUUAAAUUGCAGAUGAAUUACGGUGAAAGCCGUAAGCCGCAAGGCAUCUGUGAAGGUGCUGCAUGGUUGUCGUCAGCUCGUGCCGUGAGGUGUCGGCUUAAGUGCCAUAACGAGCGCAACCCUUGUUGUCAGUUACUAACAGGUCAUGCUGAGGACUCUGACAAGACUGCCAUCGUAAGAUGUGAGGAAGGUGGGGAUGACGUCAAAUCAGCACGGCCCUUACGUCCGGGGCUACACACGUGUUACAAUGGGGGGUACAGAGGGCCGCUACCACGCGAGUGGAUGCCAAUCCCAAAAACCUCUCUCAGUUCGGACUGGAGUCUGCAACCCGACUCCACGAAGCUGGAUUCGCUAGUAAUCGCGCAUCAGCCACGGCGCGGUGAAUACGUUCCCGGGCCUUGUACACACCGCCCGUCAAGCCAUGGGAGCCGGGGGUACCUGAAGUGCGUAACCGCGAGGAGCGCCCUAGGGUAAAACUGG
rnacentral:rRNA from 1 species